AGUGAACGCUGGCGGUAGGCCUAACACAUGCAAGUCGAACGGCAGCACAGUAAGAGCUUGCUCUUACGGGUGGCGAGUGGCGGACGGGUGAGGAAUACAUCGGAAUCUACUUUUUCGUGGGGGAUAACGUAGGGAAACUUACGCUAAUACCGCAUACGACCUACGGGUGAAAGCAGGGGAUCUUCGGACCUUGCGCGAUUGAAUGAGCCGAUGUCGGAUUAGCUAGUUGGCGGGGUAAAGGCCCACCAAGGCGACGAUCCGUAGCUGGUCUGAGAGGAUGAUCAGCCACCCUGGAACUGAGACGCGGUCCAGACUCCUACGGGAGGCAGCGGUGGGGAAUUUUGGACAAUGGGCGCAAGCCUGAUCCAGCCAUCCCGCGUGGGUGAAGAAGGCCUUCGGGUUGUAAAGCCCUUUUGUUGGGAAAGAAAAGCAGCAGGUUAAUACCCCGCUGUUCUGACGGUACCCAAAGAAUAAGCACCGGCUAACUUCGU
rnacentral:rRNA from 1 species